ACGGGGCGCAGAGGCGGAAAACUUUACAAUGCAGGAAACUGUGAUAAGGGAACCCGAGUGCCUGUAUGGACAGGCUGUCCAGGUGCGCAAAAAACACCUGGAGAAAGGGCCGGGCAAGACCGGUGCCAGCCGCCGCGGUAAUACCGGCGGCUCGAGUGGUGGCCACUAUUACUGGGCUUAAAGCGUCCGUAGCUGGGUAGUUAAGUCUCUGGGGAAAUCUUCCGGCUCAACCGGAAGGCGUCUCAGGGAUACUGGUUACCUUGGGAUCGGGAGAGGUGAGAGGUACUCUGGGGGUAGGGGUGAAAUCCUGUAAUCC
rnacentral:rRNA from 1 species